GUGUGCUCUUCUGUUCUGCCCCACUCCUAUAUAUUCAUUUGAUGCCUGCCUGAAUGCCUAAGCACCUGGCAUUUGGGAUAUGACCCUGGGUCUUCUCCACUGUGGAUCAUAUUUUGGCAUACAUACCUCAUCAGUUUUUUUUCAGAAGCCUUGCUUCUGCCUAUGUACCAGAAACCUCCUCCCUCCCUGAAUUACCUGAGUAUAAGCCAAAACACUAGAAAAUAGCAAUAUAAUAAAAAAAGUUCAUCAUAUAUUCCUAAGAAAAUAAAUAAAGAGCCAGAAUCCCUGUAACUAUGGCUAGUAACAUCAUUCUUACAGGGCUUUGUAAAAAAAAAAAUAGAUAAAAUAAAUAUGCAAAAUUAUUAGCUUCUCACCUAGAAUAUAUCACUCUAUCAUAGAUGGUGUACUUAUUAUGGCUUCUAAUAUUAUCAGUUCUGUCAUUUAUAAAAAGUCAAUUAACCUUCCUGGGCCUCAGUUUACUCAGACAAUGAGGGGAGGUGGAGUACACUCUCUAUGAUUCUUGCUAGUUCCAAAAACUGUUAUUAGUACAAAUAAUCUGGGGUAUUAUUCAUAUCUCAAUCUGGAAUAUGCCCAAUUUGAAUAUUUAUCUUUGAAGCCAAUAUGUGGAGGAAGGACCAGUUACUCAAAGGAUAACAGCAUGGC